AUUGAACGCUGGCGGCAGGCCUAACACAUGCAAGUCGAACGGUAACAGGAAGAAGCUUGCUUCUUUGCUGACGAGUGGCGGACGGGUGAGUAAUGUCUGGGAAACUGCCUGAUGGAGGGGGAUAACUACUGGAAACGGUAGCUGAUACCGCAUAACGUCGCAAGACCAAAGAGGGGGACCUUCGGGCCUCUUGCCAUCGGAUGUGCCCAGAUGGGAUUAGCUAGUAGGUGGGGUAACGGCUCACCUAGGCGACGAUCCCUAGCUGGUCUGAGAGGAUGACCAGCCACACUGGAACUGAGACACGGUCCAGACUCCUACGGGAGGCAGCAGUGGGGAAUAUUGCACAAUGGGCGCAAGCCUGAUGCAGCCAUGCCGCGUGUAUGAAGAAGGCCUUCGGGUUGUAAAGUACUUUCAGCGGGGAGGAAGGGAGUAAAGUUAAUACCUUUACUCAUUGACGUUACCCGCAGAAGAAGCACCGGCUAACUCCGUG
rnacentral:rRNA from 1 species